ACUCGAGUGGCGAACGGGUGAGUAACACGUGGGUGAUCUGCCCUGCACUCUGGGAUAAGCCUGGGAAACUGGGCCUAAUACCGGAUAGGACCAUGCUUUAGUGUGUGUGGUGGAAAGUUUUUCGGUGUAGGAUGAGCCCGCGGCCUAUCAGCUUGUUGGUGGGGUAAUGGCCUACCAAGGCGGCGACGGGUAGCCGGACUGAGAGGUUGGUCGGCCACAUUGGGACUGAGAUACGGCCCAG
rnacentral:rRNA from 1 species